GCUGAUAUGGCUCAGGUGGUAGAGCGCACCCUCGGUAAGGGUGAGGUCCCCAGUUCGACUCUGGGUAUCAGCACCA
rnacentral:tRNA from 1 species